UGAGCCAGGCUGACUCAGACAAGCUCCAAGCUGAGACAAACCAGCUCAGCUGAGCAUAUCACUACAACAGAUGAAAACAGACCAGAUUUUGCUGUCAUUGGACAUCAAUGGCAUUACACAAGACGUAGAGACUUGUCUUUUAUCCUGUUACACCUAACAUGCUUCAGUGAGGAUGUGACCAGAGGAAAAACACAAGUUGAAGCUGUUUAAAGAACUUGCCUGUGUAAGAAAAAGAGUACUGAUGGUCUUCAGUCCCUGCACUUCAAUAAAAGUGUAAUGCUGUCAAAUCAUAAAA